ensembl:rRNA 5S_rRNA 5S ribosomal RNA
GUCUAUGGCCAUACCACCCUGAACGCACCCAAUCUCAUCUGAUCUCGGAAGCUAAACAGGGUCUGGCCUGGUUAGUACUUGGUGAGAGAGAAUUGAGUUUCAUCUUUC